CCUCGUCCAUCAGCUGUGGGCAGAUGAAGUGCACAUGGCAGUCGAUCGCGCCCGCGGUGAGGAUGCGUCCGUUGCCGGAGAUGAUCUCGGUGGACGGGCCGACGACGAGGUCGGGAUGCACACCGCUCAUCGUGUCGGGGUUGCCCGCCUUGCCGAUGCCGCAGAUGCGCCCGUCACGAAUGCCGAUGUCGGCCUUGAUGAUUCCCCAGUGGUCGAUGAUCACCGCGCCGGUGAUCACGGUGUCCGGCGCCCCGUCGGCGCGGGUCGCGCGGGACUGUCCCAUCGACUCG
rnacentral:sRNA from 1 species